rnacentral:rRNA from 1 species
UUCUGUAGGUACGUCAUUUUCGUCCCUACUGAAAGGGGUUUACAACCCGAAGGCCUUCAUCCCCCACGCGGCGUCGCUGCAUCAGGCUUUCGCCCAUUGUGCAAGAUUCCCUACUGCUGCCUCCCGUAGGAGUCUGGGCCGUGUCUCAGUCCCAGUGUGGCUGAUCGUCCUCUCUGACCAGCUACCCGUCGAUGCCUUGGUGAGCCAUUACCUCACCAACUAGCUGAUAGGCCGCGAGACCCUCCCGGAGCGACGGAUCAUUUCCUUACCCGAUCAUGCGACCAAGUAAGGACAUCCGGUAUUAGCCAUCGUUUCCAAUGGUUGUCCCGGUCUCCGAGGCAGGUUUCUCACGUGUUACUCACCCGUUCGCCACUCGUACAUUGCACCGAAGUGCGUACUCGUUCGACUUGCAUGUAUUAGGCGCGCCGCCAGCGUUCGUCCUGAGCCAGGAUCAAACUCU